AAAAGUCGUAACAAGGUAACCGUAGGUGAACCUGCGGUUGGAUCAUUACAAAAUGAUUUCCUGUGUGUUGAGACUUCGGUCUCCACCAGGCAACAACCCUUUGUGCACUGUAUUGUUUUUUGGGUGACGCUUAGCAAUAGGCAUUGCCCAGCAUUAUUAAACCUCUUAAUCUUUGACUGAACUAUAAUGUAAAUUAUAAACAACUUUUGACAAUGGAUCUCUUGGCUCUCG
rnacentral:misc_RNA from 1 species